UAGUGAUUUUUGGUACUUUGUGUAUUUGGACCCAUGCCACUGGGUUACGUGGCCAUAGCCUGACUUCUGAUUUCUGGUAUCUCUUUGUGAAAGCAAUAGUAUAUUUAAAAAAAAUAUGCAUUAUUCGAGAAAUAAUUUAUUUUUAAUCAAUAUUUUAUGCUUUUGAUUAGUUAUUUAACAUGCUUUGAUCCUACUUUGGGGUAUUAUAUUGCUUAGUAGGCUAGUAUAGCUCAUUAUUAUAUUUUUUCUAUUUUUCAGAUCUAGAUGUAUAAUUGCUCGGAACUUGAGUAGUGCUCUAGUUAUUUUGAAGACGCUUUCAGUUAUUGGAGGUUUAGUUAGUCUAGUUAGAAUUUUUUAUGUUAGUAGUUAGUAUAUGUUGGCUUAUGCUACUUUGGAACUAUUGUAAGAAUAAUUUGAAUAAAUUCUUAUUUGAAUAAUUUUUUAAGAAAAUAUUAUUGAUUGAUAUGAUCUAUAGCCUUGCAUAAUCCGUUAUAAAGAUAUGCGGCGUCUGUUCUGCUCUGAAUUCGGGACACAACAGGCUUAGAUUCAAGCCCUUGACACAUACGGGCUAUCAGUCUUUUGUUGUCAACCAGAGAAGUCCUACAGGAGAGAUUUUUCCUCUCUAUUUUUAAUUUUUAUUUUAUUUUCUUUUACAUUUUUUUCCAAUGAUCGAGCCCUUUGAGUCAGAUCUCCAUGCAACUGUGCCCGUGAUAAAAGAUUUUUGAUUGUGCUAGAUUCGUUAUCGCCUAAAAUCUACAGACCAACAAAAUAAAGAGACAAUAUAUCAAGCAAGAGUCUCGUGGCAUGUAGAUGGAAAAAAAAAUUAAAAAAUAAUAAUAAAAGAAAAACAAUGGCAUCCAUGGACCCACAUUGAUUCCAGCCUCCAAGCUUCUUUGUGGCCUUUCCUGGAGUGCCUCCAAGGAAUCCCUGAGAGUCGAACUAUAGAACAAAUUUACCAAAUUAACGCCAGGUCUCGUCGCCUUCCUCAGACCCCGGCGCGUGCGUGUGUGUGUGUAUAUAUAUAUAUCGCUGCAUCUCCGGGUUUCCAUGCUUUCCGGUCAAAGAUACCACGCAACAAC
rnacentral:lncRNA from 1 species